rnacentral:rRNA from 1 species
ACAAGGUUUCCGUAGGUGAACCUGCGGAAGGAUCAUUGAAUAUGCAAACCACAACACGCACCCUACUUGUGUGCCGACGUUAGGUCAACACACGCAAGUGUGUGGCCUACUAACUUACACACCAUUGACCAACCACUGAUCAAACCAAACUCUGAAGCUUUGACUGCCGUUAACUGGCAGUUUUAACCAAUAACAACUCUCAACAACGGAUAUCUUGGCUCUCGCAACGAUGAAGAACGCAGCGAAAUGCGAUACGUAGUGUGAAUUGCAGAAUUCCGUGAACCAUCGAAUCUUUGAACGCAUAUUGCGCUCGACUCCUCGGAGAAGAGCAUGUCUGCCUCAGCGUCGGUUUACACCCUCACCCCUCCUACCCUUGGUAGGCUUGCUGUGCUUGCUCAAGCCAGCAUUAGGGGUGGAUCUGGCUUUCCCAAUCGGUUCACACUGGUUGGGUUGGCUGAAGCACAGAGGCUUAAACUGGGACCCGUACCGGGCUCAACUGGAUAGGUAGCAACACCCUCGGGUGCCUACACGAAGUUGUGUCUGAGGACCUGGUUAGGAGCCAAGCAGGAAACAUGCCUUUGGUAUGUACUCUGUAUUCGACCUGAGCUCAGGCAAGGCUACCCGCUGAACUUAAGCAUAU